AUACGGAGGGUGCAAGCGUUAAUCGGAAUUACUGGGCGUAAAGCGCGCGUAGGCGGCUUGAUAAGUCGGAUGUGAAAUCCCCGGGCUUAACCUGGGAAUUGCAUUCGAUACUGUCAGGCUAGAGUGUGGUAGAGGGAAGUGGAAUUUCCGGUGUAGCGGUGAAAUGCGUAGAUAUCGGAAAGAACAUCAGUGGCGAAGGCGGCUUCCUGGAUCAACACUGACGCUGAGGUGCGAAAGCGUGGGGAGCAAACAGGAUUAGAAACCCCAGUAGUCC
rnacentral:rRNA from 1 species